rnacentral:rRNA from 1 species
CCUACGGGUGGCUGCAGUGGGGAAUAGUGGACAAUGGGGGGAACCCUGAUCCAGCCAUGCCGCGUGUGUGAAGAAGGCCCUCGGGUUGGAAAGCACUUUCAGUGAGGAAGAACGCCUGGUGGUUAAUACCCAUCAGGAAAGACAUCACUCACAGAAGAAGCACCGGCUAACUCCGUGCCAGCAGCCGCGGUAAUACGGAGGGUGCGAGCGUUAAUCGGAAUUACUGGGCGUAAAGCGCGCGUAGGUGGCUUGAUAAGCCGGUUGUGAAAGCCCCGGGCUCAACCUGGGAACGGCAUCCGGAACUGUCAAGCUAGAGUGCAGGAGAGGAAGGUAGAAUUCCCGGUGUAGCGGUGUAAUGCGUAGAGAUCGGGAGGAAUACCAGUGGCGAAGGCGGCCUUCUGGACUGACACUGACACUGAGGUGCGAAAGCGUGGGUAGCAAACAGGAUUAGAUACCCUUGUAGUC